GGCAGGGUAGAGCGGCUCGGUAGCUCGUCAGGCUCAUAACCUGAAGGUCGUAGGUUCAAAUCCUACCCCCGCAACCA
rnacentral:tRNA from 1 species